AACCCAACAGCUAGCCCGCCCUCUAACUAUAACACACAAUUAUCAAUAAACCCUAAUACCCUAAACAAAGAAAAUAAAUCAUUUUACCCCCCUAGUACGGGCGACGGAACGGGGCCCUGGAGCUAUAGAGAAAGUACCGCAAGGGAAAGCUGAAAGAGAAAUGAAAUAAACCAGUAAAGUGAAGAAAAGCAGAGAUACACCCUCGUACCUUUUGCAUCAUGAUUUAGCAAGACACCCCAAGCAAAAAGAAUUUUAGUUUGACCACCCGAAACUAGGUGAGCUACUCCAAGACAGCCUGUUAGCAGGGCCAACCCGUCUCUGUGGCAAAAGAGUGGGAAAAGCUUCGAGUAGAGGUGACAAACCUACCGAACCUAGUUAUAGCUGGUUGCCCGGGAAGUGAAUAGCAGUUCAGCCCCUAGACUUCUAUAGUUUCGACUGGUACAACCUUUUCCCAAACAAUUAGAAAUCUAAGGAGUUAGUCAAAAGGGGUACAGCCCUUUUGACCCAGGAUACAACCUCACUAGGAGGAUAAAGACCAUAAUCAAGCAAAGGA
rnacentral:rRNA from 1 species